rnacentral:rRNA from 1 species
AACGAACGCUGGCGGCAGGCUUAACACAUGCAAGUCGAACGCCCCGCAAGGGGAGUGGCAGACGGGUGAGUAACGCGUGGGAACGUGCCCUUCGCUUCGGAAUAGCCCCGGGAAACUGGGAGUAAUACCGGAUACGCCGUAUUGGGAAAGAUUUAUCGGCGAAGGAUCGGCCCGCGUUGGGUUAGGUAGUUGGCGGUGUAAUGGACCACCAAGCCUACGAUCCAUAGCUGGUCUGAGAGGAUGAUCAGCCACACUGGGACUGAGACACGGCCCAGACUCCUACGGGAGGCAGCAGUGGGGAAUCUUGGACAAUGGGCGCAAGCCUGAUCCAGCCAUGCCGCGUGAGUGAAGAAGGCCUUAGGGUUGUAAAACUCUUUCGCCGGAGAAGAUAAUGACGGUAUCCGGAGAAGAAGCCCCGGCUAACUUCGUGCCAGCAGCCGCCGUAAAAC